CGGUGGGUUUUGAAAACAAAGUUCUAACGGCUACCGGGAAGGGGAAGGAGAAGCGCACGCGCAGAAGAGUCAGAAAAACGCAGCUUUGUCGGCGAUUCGGGCGGGGGGAGCUCCCAGUGAGCCUGUCGUUCUGUUCCCUUUGAGAGCAGUGUCGCCCCCGCCCCCCAAGGCAGGGAAGCCCCCCUCAGGGCGGAGCGUAUGCUGUUGCGGAGCGGCGCAAUGCCUCCCUGCGUGACGGUGGCCGGGCAGCCUCGCUCUGUGCACGGGGGUAGGAGAGCGCUCGGCGUGGAGAGAACAGGCUUUCGGAGAGCCCGUUGCAGGCGAGCUUGCAGUGAGCUCCCUGGGCCCGGGUGAUUGGCAGAGCUGCAGCCAGCUCUGGGUAGCAGAGUCUGUGCCUAGCGCUCCUCCUGCAGCUGUCGGGAUUUACACACCAGACCGCCUUCCCGCUUCCUAGCACCCGAGACUGCACACCCACGAAACUCCUAUCCCCUGUGGGGAGUGAGUAGGUGACGGCCUGACGCGACACGCUUUACACAGAAGUAAACAAGGCAAAGCCACAGAGAGAGGGAGUCAUUGAUUCAAAACGAGGACUCUGGACAGCCUUCCUGCUUCUCAUGCUGGUGAUCAGACUACUCGGUUUCUCUUUUUAUACUCCAUCCAGAGCAGAGUUCUUAUGGUCAUGCCAUGUGAUAGGUUCACCGCGCAUAUGUUGCAAUGAAGUCCAUUUUUGUACCUUGGAAAAUUGAAGGAUUGAGUUCUCUCAUUUUUUAAAAAAAUUCCCUCCUAGAUGUCUAACGUUUCAGCAGCAGUCAGGUUAAUACAGUUUAAGAGAAUUUAGUGGUGUGGUCUGAAACUUUAUUUUAUUCACAUAAAUCCUAAUAAGAAAGAAAAUUCAGUUUAUUGUCCAAAUCAACGAUUUAGUUUCUGUAGGGAUUUAUGCAGUAGAGUUUCUGCUGGGAAGAAAAAUCACUUUCAGGGCUGGUCUACACUGGGGCCUUGGCUACACUGGAGAGUUGCAGCGCUGGUGGCGGCUUUAAAGCGCUGCAACUCACUCACCGUCCACACUUGCAAGGCAGAUACAGCGCUGUAUCUCCCUGGCUACAACGCUAGCUGUACUCACCUCGGCCUGGGGAAUAACGACUGCAGCGCUGGUGAUGCAGCGCUGCUCUGCCAGUGUGGCCACCAAAAGCGCUGUUAUUGGCCUCCAGAGGUAUUCGGAGAUCUCCUAGAAUGCCUGUUCAGCCACUCUGCUCAUCAGUUCGAGCUCUACUGCCCUGGCCUCAGGUGACCCUCCCAUUAAAUGCCUCAGGAAAUUUUAAAAAUCCCCUUCCUGUUUGCUCAGCCAGGUGUGGAGAGCAAUCAGUGAAUCUUUCCAGGUGACCAUGCCUCCAUGUGCCAAACGAGCCCCAACAUGGAGCAAUGGCAAGUUGCUGGACCUCAUCAGUGUUCGGGGGGAGAAAGCUGUGCAGUCCCAGCUGUGCUCCAGCCGUAGGAAUUAUGAUACCUAUAGGCAGAUAUCAAGGGCCAUGCUGGAAAGAGGCCAUGACAGGGACGCGCUGCAGUGCAGGGUUAAAGUAAAGGAGCUGUGGAGUGCCUAUUGCACAGCCUGUGAGGGAAACCGCCGCUCCGCCACUGCUCCCACGACCUGCCAUUUUUACAAAGAGCUGGACGCGAUACUUGGGGGUGACCCCACCGCCAAUCCGAGAACCACGAUGGACACUUCAGAGUAGGGGGAAGGAGAAGAGGAGGGGAGGAGGAGGAAACUGAGAGUGAGGGUACUGGAGUAGGGGGAGACACCCCGGAGUCCCAGGAGGCAUGCAGCCAGGAGCUCUUCUCAAGCCAAGAGGAAGGCAGCCAGUCGCAGCAGCCGGUACUUGGUGAAGGACAAGCAGAAGAGCGGGUUACUGCAACCUUGAGUUCUCAGCUGCCCGUGUUAUCAACCGCUCAAAGACUCUAAAACCUCCGGAAGAAGCCGCGAGAAAGCAAAGACGACUUGCUGCAAGCAGUUAUGGAUCACUCUGCCAGAGAGAAUCAAAAAGUGCACGACUGGAGGGAAAGGGAAAGCAGGAUCUGCCAUAGAACUGCAGCGGCCCGGAAAAAAAGCACAAAGCAGCUGAUAAGCAUCCUGGCGCGCCAAGCGGACUCUAUCCAGGCGCUCAUAGCCAUGCAGGCAGAGCACUACUACUCCAGCCCCACCCCCGUCCCAAAGCUCCUUCCCUUGUGCCCCAAUGUCAGCUCAAAACCCCGUUCCCCACCAUCCAGGUUCUUACCACCACCAGCUUCCUCCAGCACCUGUACGUUCACCAACUAGCCCUGAGAACUACGACCCUUACCCUCUGCACUCAACCCCCAUCACCAUGCAGUAUAGGCAUCCUGAAGUGCAGCAGUCAUUGCACAGCACUCCAGACAGGAUAUAUUCAAACCUGUGAGUGUACAGUUCCCCACCGCACCCCCCUGCCCUUUUAGGUUGCCAAAAUGUUGUGUGUGUGUCAAUAAAGUUAAUUUCUUUUCAAUAAAUGAAUUCUUCGCUUUGAAAA